rnacentral:rRNA from 1 species
CCUACGGGGGGCAGCAGUGGGGAAUAUUGGACAAUGGGGGCAACCCUGAUCCAGCCAUGCCGCGUGUGUGAAGAAGGCCCUCGGGUUGUAAAGCACUUUCAGUGAGGAAGAACGCCUGGUGGUUAAUACCCAUCAGGAAAGACAUCACUCACAGAAGAAGCACCGGCUAACUCCGUGCCAGCAGCCGCGGUAAUACGGAGGGUGCGAGCGUUAAUCGGAAUUACUGGGCGUAAAGCGCGCGUAGGUGGCUUGAUAAGCCGGUUGUGAAAGCCCCGGGCUCAACCUGGGAACGGCAUCCGGAACUGUCAAGCUAGAGUGCAGGAGAGGAAGGUAGAAUUCCCGGUGUAGCGGUGAAAUGCGUAGAGAUCGGGAGGAAUACCAGUGGCGAAGGAGGCCUUCUGGACUGACACUGACACUGAGGUGCGAAAGCGUGGGUAGCAAACAGGAUUAGAUACCCCAGUAGUC